UUUUUUUUUUUUAAUUUUUCAGGGUUGACGUUUUACUUGAUCAUAAAGUUAUUGGGACUGGUAUUGCUGCUAGCAAAACAAGGGCAAAGAAUGAAGCUGUUAAAAUAGUUUUGGAAAAACUACAAAGAGAAAUCUACACUAUUAAAGUCAAAGAGAGUGGUGAUGAAGUGUUGGAGAUUAAUCCUUCAGACUUGAUUAAUCUGAAGUUCAAUAGAAAAAAACUUAAAACUGAUGGUAGAAGACACUUUAUUUGUCCAGGGAAUGAGAAUUUUGCUAAAGUUUUUCAGCAUUAUGCAGAUUUAAGUGAGUGGGUAAGCCUAACUAAUAUUAAAUCCAAAAUUGCAACUCUGCUGACAGGAUAUAGCAAGUCUGAUGAAUUAGUAGUUCUCAAAUUUUCUGAAAAAUUUUCAUUACCUGAAAAGACAGCGAUUCAUCAGAAUCGGCGAAAACUUGGCCUUCUGUUCAAUAGAUAUCAAAAGAAAGAGGAUAAGAAUAUCUACAUAAAGCGUAAAAUUAAAGUAAAAGACAUUUUGGACACUCUUAUAAAAUCUGGUGGUAAAACCUCAAAACAUGAGCUUAUAGACAUGUCCAAUUGAUUGAAUGAAGUAUUUUAAUCAUUGUUAUUGUUAAUGCUUUAAUAUGUUAUCUUUUUCUUUUACAAUUUUAGUCAUUUGUACAAAAUCUACAUUAAGUUAAAUUAGCACCUAAUUUGUUAAAACAAGUGUGAUACUAAUUUAGUACAUCCAUAAGGUGCCUCCAGUAAACAUCAAUCUGAAACUGGUGCAGAGAACCUUGUAUGUGAGAAGGGCUUUUUAUUUUUCAAUACUUCAAGGUUUGUAUGUACAGUGUUCAAAAUAGAAAACGAACACCUCUGAAUAACUUUUGAUCUAAUAAUCGGAUCUUUACAUUCUUGGAUUCAAUCUUAAUAGUUUAAGGGGGUGACCCCAAUUAUGCUAAUUAAUUAAAGCACAUGAUAUUUUCAGUUACAAAAUCAGACUCAAAAAGCUUCUAUUCUGAAUAAACAUAUCUCUUUUUUGAUAGAUUCGGAUUUCUGACCCCAAAACUAUAGGAGGUAGUCGCAAGCUGGAAAAUAUGAUUUCAACAGNUGAGUGGUCAAAUGUUUUGACCUCUUAAUGUUAAUUUUACUUUUUGCAUAUUUCAACAUAUCUCGAGGACUUUUUAUGCGAGUUGAAAAUUUUUGCAUAUAAUUAUAAAACUCCUUUACCC